rnacentral:rRNA from 1 species
GGAGUUUGGGCCGUGUCUCAGUCCCAAUGUGGCCGUUCACCCUCUCAGGCCGGCUACUGAUCGUCGCCUUGGUGAGCCGUUACCUCACCAACUAGCUAAUCAGACGCGGGUCCAUCAUAUACCACCUCAGUUUUUCACACUCUACCAUGCGAUACUGUGCGCUUAUGCGGUAUUAGCACCUAUUUCUAAGUGUUAUCCCCCUGUAUAUGGCAGGUUACCCACGCGUUACUCACCCGUCCGCCACUAAACUUUUCAAAGACUUAGCUUUGAGCAAGCUCUCCGCUUCGUCGGGAGAAAAGUUCCGUUCGACUUGCAUGUGUUAAGCACGCCGCCAGCGUUCAUC